GAGAAGCUUGCUUCUCUGAUGUUAGCGGCGGACGGGUGAGUAACACGUGGAUAACCUACCUAUAAGACUGGGAUAACUUCGGGAAACCGGAGCUAAUACCGGAUAAUAUUUUGAACCGCAUGGUUCAAAAGUGAAAGACGGUCUUGCUGUCACUUAUAGAUGGAUCCGCGCUGCAUUAGCUAGUUGGUAAGGUAACGGCUUACCAAGGCAACGAUGCAUAGCCGACCUGAGAGGGUGAUCGGCCACACUGGAACUGAGACACGGUCCAGACUCCUACGGGAGGCAGCAGUAGGGAAUCUUCCGCAAUGGGCGAAAGCCUGACGGAGCAACGCCGCGUGAGUGAUGAAGGUCUUCGGAUCGUAAAACUCUGUUAUUAGGGAAGAACAUAUGUGUAAGUAACUGUGCACAUCUUGACGGUACCUAAUCAGAAAGCCACGGCUAACUACGUGCCAGCAGCCGCGGUAAUACGUAGGUGGCAAGCGUUAUCCGGAAUUAUUGGGCGUAAAGCGCGCGUAGGCGGUUUUUUAAGUCUGAUGUGAAAGCCCACGGCUCAACCGUGGAGGGUCAUUGGAAACUGGAAAACUUGAGUGCAGAAGAGGAAAGUGGAAUUCCAUGUGUAGCGGUGAAAUGCGCAGAGAUAUGGAGGAACACCAGUGGCGAAGGCGACUUUCUGGUCUG
rnacentral:rRNA from 1 species